rnacentral:lncRNA from 1 species
UCCAGAAACAGGGAGAAAAACAAUCCAGAAAUCCGAGAAUCAGCUGUUUGUUUGUCUCUUUUCUCUUUGCUUCUCGAGUUUGAGUUCGGGAAAGGAGUUCGAAGUUGGAAUCUUUGACGUCAAAGCUUUAGUUUGCUGCUCCAAAGAAGGUAAUCUCUUUUUCCUUUGUUUAUAGCUACUUUAAUUUCUGUUUUUAAUCUGCGUUGAUCCCAUAGUACGUUUUCUUUGAUUCUGCGAGUAUGUAGUUGUUGUAAUUUGCUGAUUUAAAUUUCUUUGAAGUUCCCUGUUUAUGCUUGGAUCCCCUGUAAUUCUAAUUUCUUUUUUAACAUGUGAACAUUAGUUAGGCGCAGUUACGUAUUGUGGUUAUUAUCAUAGCUUGCUAAUGCUCCUGUUUGCUUAGUCUUCCUAGUUUUAUCAUAAGUAGUUUUGAAUUGGUUUACUCGUUCUUAGUAUGGUUUUGCUUGUUAUGAAUCUAUUAGAUAUGCGAUAGUCAUCAGUGUUCUUGGAUGUUCGAAUCAGUUUGUUAGUUGUUCGUGUCCUCGGGAUCCAUAUCAAAUUGUUUUAUUGAAAUCGAUUUGAAAAAUGGUUUAAUAAAUUGUCCAAUUUAAGUUUUGUUACUUCUCUUUUCUCUGUUUAUUACCUCUUAAAAUUAGGACGAGACCAUCAUUGGUUCAAUAGGACACACAUAUUUGUUUAAGUUAGUAUUUAUUUUGUCCCCUGAUCUUGUUAAUCAAUGCCUUAGCCUUUCCUCUUUUACAGCUUGCUAGCUUUAAAUAAUUAAUAUAGUGGUUAAUCUUUAUUCGCUUCAAGAAUGACCUUGAUUAGCUUUGAGUUUAUAGUGUUUUCUCUUAGUUAAAUAAAUGCUUUAUGUAGUGUUUUCCUUAAACUUUGACCCUUUUUGUGAAUAUUUCUACCUUUCCUUCAUAGUAUUAUUAAUUCAGGUCGUUACUCGUAAUGUUUUGAAUGUUUGUAACUCCUCUCAAGUUCUAUUUUUAUGUAUAAUUUUUUAGGACUAUAACUUGGUUGAAACUAUACCUAGUAUUUUUCCAGCUCUUUACCACACUUAAUUUUAUAUCUUUGACGUCAACUCCAUAGUAUGUUUCAGAUUAUUUUUUUAAUCAAAAUUUUGCCUAAAUAAUCAUUUUCUAAGUCUGAAUGAGCCAUUUCGAACUCUCAAGAUCAGCUCUUCCUAAUCUUCCAUCCCCCUCCCCUGUUUGAAGAUCUGGAAAAUAUAAGAGUAUGGAUAAAUGUCUAGUCAUUUUACAUAGUUAACCGAAACGUAAUCCUUGAUUCAAGAUAUGUGAAAAUUUUGGUUUAUACAUAUCCUCCAUUUGGAGGGGCUGAUUUUAUUAUUCUACAAGAACUAAUCCAAAGAGUUCUCGAGUGACUAGUUUUAAUCUAGUAGUAUUGUGGAUUGAUUUUUAGUGAUCAGUUAAGAUGAUCUCUCUUCAGUCCUUAUUUUACGACUUUAUAGUUAAGAUAGUACUUUACUAUCCAAAAUAAUUUGAUUGAUUAGCUUUCCAGUGGCUCUUCCUUUAAUUGUAUACCAAGAUCAUAAAAUAAUACAAGUGUUCACCUCUUCCCCCGACUCUUCUUGUGAUGUUUCUCUCUAGAUUGAUUAAAGUCUUUGGUAUACUAAUUACUUAAAUGUCGUCAAGGAAUUGCGAGAAUAGUAUUAUGUUGUUGCUUUUUUUUUGAGUAUAUUUACAGUAUGCCUACCUACAACUACAUAAUACUUAUUUUACAUGUCUUUGAUGAACCUAAAAUUCAGUCGCUAAUUCUAUUUCUUCUUUGUUUGUCACAUGUACACUCGGGAGCGUGUUUGGAGUUAGUAUAUGACUACAUCUCUGUCCAAUUCAGAGAAGCGACUAAUAGCCUACAUUAUUUGCUCGUGUCUAGCAGCCCUCAUCUCAUCAAUAGUGUCAACGCUUCCUAUUUUAGUUCAAAGCUUUACAUUUUUUAUAUAUACAUAUAUGCGCGGUUACUUCGGCUAACGUUUUACAUAUUAGUAUUUAACAUUUAUAUUUUUUGAUUGCUCCUAUUUGUGUUUGGAUUUGUACAAACUAACUAGAAUGAGAGUAAGAUGCAGUCGUCCAUCUCACAUUCCUCUAGAUAUUUGGGUUUUAGUAUGACCAUUUGGCUUAUGACGACGCUUUCCAAAGAAAUUUUUUUCAUCUAUUAUAUCUUUUGGUUGUGAAAGCUUAACCUUU